UUUGCCCCCUUUUUUCGAGUCGAGAAAAUAGUCUAAGCUUGCUACAGGGCAAUGAAAAAUAUAGACACAAGUUUAAUCUAGUGAAGCUGAAACAUUCCUAAUCCUGGAUAAUUUCAUGAUUCUAGUU